CUGUAUUACAUUUACGUUGACACAAACAUUCCAAUCAUUCGAAAUAUUUAAAUUGUCAUAUAAUCAAACUACUUUGUCACUACUAUUGAACAAUUCCCACACCAAUCCUUCCCUCUCACUAUAAUCAUAUAAUAUACAGUAAUGUUGAACAAGUUAUAAUUACAAUUGUUGUUGUCUGGUAACCCUGCUGCCAUUGCUCUUUUUGGUUUCUAAAGUCGAGCCUUCGUGGCCCUCCCAUACAGUCAUCGUCAUCAUCUUCUCCAUCCUCAUCAUCUUCACCUUUAUCCCAUGGAGCUUUUCCACCUCUCAAACUUCUUAGAGUAGGUCGUUUCCUCUUGACAUUAGCUGCGCACGUAGCAUAAUCCA
rnacentral:lncRNA from 1 species